rnacentral:lncRNA from 1 species
GCCCAUUGUUUAUCACAUACAUGCAUGAACCUUUUGUUUUAGAAUCAUACGUGCAUGGAUGUUUCCCAGGUAAACCAAGACGCACGGUAGAAUCUGCCCACUGUUUAUCAUGUAUGUAAGCUGUCUCACAGCCAUCGAGCCUCGGCAAGUGCCCGGGGUCGUCGGGCGCUGGCUCCGCCACUGCCUACUUUCAUUGUUCUUUUCUGAGCCGAAUAGCUUAUGCUCUCAGAGUAUCAGGGAAAGAAUAUGUAAUUGUUUCUAUGGUAGUUGGCCUUCA